rnacentral:rRNA from 1 species
GAUGAACGCUGGCGGCGUGCCUAAUACAUGCAAGUCGAGCGAACGGACGAGAAGCUUGCUUCUCUGAUGUUAGCGGCGGACGGGUGAGUAACACGUGGAUAACCUACCUAUAAGACUGGGAUAACUUCGGGAAACCGGAGCUAAUACCGGAUAAUAUUUUGAACCGCAUGGUUCAAAAGUGAAAGACGGUCUUGCUGUCACCUAUAGAUGGAUCCGCGCUGCAUUAGCUAGUUGGUAAGGUAACGGCUUACCAAGGCAACGAUGCAUAGCCGAUCUGUGAGGGUGAUCGGCCACACUGGAACUGAGACACGGUCCAGACUCCUACGGGAGGCAGCAGUAGGGAAUCUUCCGCAAUGGGCGAAAGCCUGACGGAGCAACGCCGCGUGAGUGAUGAGGGUCUUCGGAUCGUAAAACUCUGUUAUUAGGGAAGAACAUAUGUGUAAGUAACUGUGCACAUCUUGACGGUACCUAAUCAGAAAGCCACGGCUAACUACGUG